rnacentral:rRNA from 1 species
AAUGAACGCUGGCGGCAUGCCUAACACAUGCAAGUCGAACGAGACCACCGGGACUAGUGGUGCACGGGUGCGUAACGCGUGGGAAGCUGCACUUAGGUUCGGAAUAACUCUACGACAGGGGUGCUAAUACCGGACAAUGUCUAAGGACGAAGGAUUUAUCGCACUUGGUUGGACACGCGUUGGAUUAGCUAGUUGGUAGGGUAAGAGCCUACUAAGGCGACGAUCAAUAGCUGGUUUGUGAGGAUGGUCAGCCACACUGAGACUGAGACACGGCCCAGACUCCUACGCGAGGCAGCAAUGGCGAAUAUUGCACAGUCGGCGAAGUCCUGAUGCAGCAAGGCCGCGUAAGUUAUGAAAGCCUUAAGGUUGUAAAGCUCUUUUACCCGUGAUGAUAAUGACAGUACCGGGAGAAUAAGCUCCGGCUAACUCCGUG